AGUAAAAGUCGUAACAAGGUUUCCGUAGGUGAACCUGCGGAAGGAUCAUUAUCGAGUUUUGACUGGGUUGUAGCUGGCCUUCCGAGGCAUGUGCACGCCCUGCUCAUCCACUCUACACCUGUGCACUUACUGUGGGCUUCAGAUCGUAAAACGGGUCCCUUUACCGGGCUUGCGGAGCGUGUCUGUGCCUGCGUUUAUCACAAACUCUAUAAAGUAUCAGAAUGUGUAUUGCGAUGUAACGCAUCUAUAUACAACUUUCAGCAACGGAUCUCUUGGCUCUCGCAUCGAUGAAGAACGCAGCGAAAUGCGAUAAGUAAUGUGAAUUGCAGAAUUCAGUGAAUCAUCGAAUCUUUGAACGCACCUUGCGCUCCUUGGUAUUCCGAGGAGCAUGCCUGUUUGAGUGUCAUGAAAUCUUCAACCUGCAAGCUUUUGUGGUUUGUAGGCUUGGACUUGGAGGCUUGUCGGCCGUUGUUGGUCGGCUCCUCUUAAAUGCAUUAGCUUGGUUCCUUGCGGAUCGGCUCUCAGUGUGAUAAUGUCUACGCUGCGACCGUGAAGCGUUUGGCGAGCUUCUAACCGUCUCAGUUGGAGACAACUUUAUGACCUCUGACCUCAAAUCAGGUAGGACUACCCGCUGAACUUAAG
rnacentral:rRNA from 1 species